AGACCUGUCUGUAACACAUAGACACAUGAACCGUAUAUAUUUUUACACGUAAUUUCUCCUCAAGUGCCCUGCCCUCCAAACAACUUGACAUUGUUGCGGGAAUGUUGGAGCAAUGCCAUCAUCUUCUCCUGGAACCUUACAAACGGUGCUGACUACAACCUGGCCAAGGCAGUGGACUCAAAGGUAUUCAGCAACUGAUUAUCCAAAAAAAUCAAAAUUUUCUUCUGCUGCAAAGUUUACCUGUGAAGUAUUAAAAAAUGCUAUUUAUAUGAUAAGAUAACAUGUCAGCUCAAAUAUGACAAGAAUCUGCCAAAACUCAUCUUCACUUUUAUUUAAGCUAUAAUUCUGUUCAUGUGAUAACUUUGUCUGUGAUGUACAAAUUAGUGUUUCAGAUAUAAAUUGCUUCUGGCAGCUACUAAGUUGGAUUUCAAUUUUAGUUUAGGAAAAAAUGCAAAAGUGCAAAUUCUUUACUCGGCUUUUAUUAUCUUUUAAAAUUUCUUCUUCAGGGAAAUGUCCAAACCUGCCUGACUAGGGAAAACUCCUGCUAUUUCACAAAUACACAAUGUGGAAUGCGCUAUGUUUUCACUGUCUCUACAACCUCUGGGUCUUGCCAAAGCGACUUUAGCGCAGCUGUUGGUGUCCGCACAGCACCCUGUAUGCCCAGAAAUCUCCAAACGUACGGCAACUGCAGCACAGGUACUCUGCUCAGCACAUGGGACCACGCUGAAGGAGCCCUGCGCUACAACGUGACGGCACAGGGCAACUUCCAAAACAGCAUUUACUCCUGCAGCUCACAGUCCAACAGCUGUGCUAUGGCAGGCCUGCAGUGCGGGGAAAGCCUAACCAUCUCAAUCAAGUCCUCUGACAAUGAAUGUGACAGUCCACCCACGCUUGGGCUUCCUGCCGAGACAGGUAAGAAAGACCUGGGUGAUAGAUGUGCGGUAAAAGAAAGAAAUGCCAUGUACAGUAAAAAAAACACAAAACAUAAUUUACACAAAAAAAUAUUUUUAUAUUAUAAAAGAAUAGUUUUUG
rnacentral:lncRNA from 1 species